UUUUGCAAAGGCGACUUCAUCAUGACAUUCUAUUUCCUACUAUUUAUGUUUUAUUACGAGUUAAAGAUGUUACCUAAUGAGUUAUUUAUCUUCUAUGUAGAUAGUUUUUGAAUUAUACAAGGGAACAAAUCAGAGAUCGAUGAGGCUACCGACAUGUCUGACAAAGAGUGAACAACAAUUAUUUUGAGACACCUUACCAAACAUAGAUUUAUCAUUGAACAGUUAGUUGGAGUCGAGCAUGUUCAGGAAACAUCAACAAUUUGUCUCAAUGCUACUCUUCAAAACUUAUUCACUUAUAGUUGGUUAAGGAUAAAAUAGGUCAGAGGACAAUACUAUGAUGGGGCAAGCAACAUGCGUGUCAGAGGGAUAAUAUUGUGAUGGGGCAAAGAACAUGCGUGUCAGAGGGAUAGUAUUGUGAUGGGGCAAGCAACAUGCAUGUAUGAAAGAACUAUGAUGAUAUUGAAGAUUUUUUCUACAUGAUCUCUAUCUAAUUCAAUGUCAUCCAACCGGUUCUGCCCCUAACCCUGACUAUAAAUAGCCAUCCACUCCAUCAUUAGUUGGUUGGCUGCUUCAAGUUAAUUUGCGACAGGUGCCAUUUAGAGAAAGCCACCCCCCUGAAGCAUUUGAGAGAAUCCUAGUGAGUAAAAAUCCCAAAUACCCAGAGCCAAAAUAAUUGAGCAUCAUUGAAGAAUCUGUUAUAAGUGAAUCAAACGCUUGUUACUCUUGAAGACUGUGAUCUUUCAGAUGGCUAGGCGUAUGUCCAGAACAUUCAAGAGUCAUUGUGGAUAGCCGAAGAAUGCGUAUGUGAAGGUUUUAGAGAUUUACCAUGAGUGAUUGGGGGAGGUCUAAGUGACCUUAGCUUAAGAAGAAUAAGGUGACUACUUGGUGUUCUGAGUUAAAUUUCAGCCUCGUGAACCAGAAGUAAAGUUGUCACAAAAACCUUAAACCGGUCAAAAAAAUAUGUCUUCUUUGAGCAGUUGGUUCCAAUUUUUCACCCUUUAAAUUAUGUACUUGUAUGUUGUGAAG